rnacentral:rRNA from 1 species
AACGAACGCUGGCGGCAUGCCUAACACAUGCAAGUCGAACGAGACCUUCGGGUCUAGUGGCGCACGGGUGCGUAACGCGUGGGAACCUGCCCUUAGGUUCGGAAUAACUCCCCGAAAGGGGUGCUAAUACCGGAUAAUGUCUUCGGACCAAAGAUUUAUCGCCUUUGGAUGGGCCCGCGUUGGAUUAGCUAGUUGGUAGGGUAAAAGCCUACCAAGGCGACGAUCCAUAGCUGGUCUGAGAGGAUGAUCAGCCACACUGGGACUGAGACACGGCCCAGACUCCUACGGGAAGCAGCAGUGGGGAAUAUUGGACAAUGGGCGAAAGCCUGAUCCAGCAAUGCCGCGUGAGUGGUGAAGGCCUUAGGGUUGUAAAGCUCUUUUACCCGGGAUGAUAAUGACAGUACCGGGAGAAUAAGCUCCGGCUAACUCCGUG